rnacentral:lncRNA from 1 species
AAUAUUUAACAUAAAUUAUUUAAUUCUGAAAAGAGUCCUAGCAGGCAAGUACUGUUAUGACUCUCCAAUUUACAGAUGAGAAUUUCCAGAGAGAUAAAGUAACUUCCCCAAGGUCACAUGGCAGAUACAUAAUCAAAUUGCUGCCCGUUUAUCUUACUGCACUGGUAGCCUGAGGCCACUCUCCACUCUAAUGCCAGACAAAUCAGAGCUGGUCAUGAACACUCAUAAAGCCCUCUCACGUUCCUCAUAAUCACUCCUAAUUAUAACCUGAGCAAGAAGUGUUGUUUUAAGUAGGUUAUGAGCCCCACGUUGAAAGGACGGGUCUUACAUCGUGUUAGCUGAGUAUGAGCUCAGGUCAGAAAAAAAAUUCGGUGACCAAGUUGGCAAAAGCUGUUGUUCCUGGGUUCCAUCUUGCCAUCGGCAGGGUUGCUUGGGAUAUUUUGCUGGGGGAAAGAGAUGCACAGAGAUACCACGGGGCUUAUGCCAUGUGGUAGAGUUGGGAUUUGAUUCCACGUGGGUCUGAUGCCAACCUGGAAAUCCUGAUUUGCCUGCUGCCUCAUGUUCCUUGGUGGGCCUGAACUGUUUCCUCAUAUUCUGAUCUCUUAGUAUAUCCUGGACCUGGUCCCAAGCCUCUGUUUGCUAGCUUUGCUGUAAUUGGUUAGAGAUUGUAGGCACUGAUUUAUCACAGACGUGUCUAGGCCCCCAUUUGUGGAUAGCCUUGCUUUUUAUCAUUUGGUUUUUUUUCCUCUUAUCAAUACGGCGCAUGGUUUAUACACACCAGUAUUAACAGUGAGGUGCUCUAUGAGGAAACCAUGUCUCUAUGGCCGAGUCUCUUUCUCAACCCUAAAUCAGCAUGUGUAGACAACAGGAGGGGCACUUGAAACCCGGAUAUUUCAGAAUAACAAAUAUGUGGUGAAUUGUGCGGUGGUGAUGGUGGGUGCUUUAGAGCUGGUGGGAGGGGACACCUUUCUGAAUGGGUAAUGUUUACAGUGGGAUGGUCUGGAGAAUGAGAAGAAAUCAAUCAUGCAGAGAGCCAAGAAGAGUUUCCUAGUAGAAGGAAUGGCAAAGGCAAAUGCUCUGAGUGGGGAAUGGAAAAGAGGCAAGAAAUAAACUAAUGUGUUUGAGCCUUCUGUGUUCUCAAGUACAGAAGGGAAGUCAGAAGUUCAUUGUCAGCAUUGCUCAUCCCACCUCCUCAUGGAGAAUCAGAGGCAAUUUUUGGACAAGCCUCGAUGAUGCUGGGGCAAAUGCCUUCAUGUUUGUCAAUUUCUACUUUGCCUAGGUAUCUUUGGGAGAGUGAUCCACAACUUCCUUGAUGAAGGGUUUUUUGGUUUCAUUAAGCGCACCUUUUGAAGUGGUUCCAUUGACAACAUUCCUUUCAGAAAUUUUUUAAGAUCUCCCAGGGGAUUUGAAUGUAAGAAAGCAGUGUGAUGUUUUUGAUAUUAGCAGUGGUUGGUAAAAAUAUUCAAGCCACCCUUUUGCUGUUUUUGGUUUGUUUGUUUUUAGGGUCACACCCGUGGCACAUGGAGGUUUCCAGGCUAUGGGUCUAAGCCAAGCUACAGCUGCCAGCCUAUGCCACAGCCACAGCAACGCCAAAUCCGAGCUGCAUCUGCGACCUAUACCACAGCUCACAGCCAGAUCCUUAACCCACUGAGCGAGGCCAGGGAUUGAACCUGCAACCUCAUGGUUCCUAGUUGGGUUCAUUUCUGCUGUUCCACGACAGGAACUCCUAGGCCACCUUUUCGUCUUAAAAUCCAUUCAAGCACUUAAAGGUUUGGAAAUCAUAUGAUUACAUCAGAAUCUCAAACCCGAGAUUUAUAGAAAAUCGGAGGGUGCUCAAAGGGUGUUCUGUUGGCAGAGGGGCUGAGCUGCUCUGAAAACAAGGGCAGCUUCUUUUAUUUACAGUGACUAGAGCCUCACAGAUGUGCAGCCACUGGCCACAGGCCAUCCAUCACUAGCAGAUCAACACAUGGUUCCACUUUGGGCACUUGGGUUCCUAAUCUAAGGUUAAUUCAGCUAUUCAGAUUAAGGUUUGUGACAUGCUAAGAGGUUCUUGUAAAAAAAGAAAAAAGCAAAAAGAACACAAGCCCAGUAAUUAAUUGUGGGCAUUUAAUAGUACAUUCUGGACUUGUUUGGUAUUGCUCAGGCCCAGCAGAGAUCCUUUUGAUGUUCUUCCAAUAACAAUAAAAAUAACAGCUUGGAGAAAAGAGCAGACUCUUAGGUGGAGAACUGAAGUUCUGGAAAGAGCCUUAGAUUUUAAUCAGAGUGCUCUUUGGCAUUGGCCAUCGGUACCCACCAUCAAUGCCUUAUUUUUAGUUUAUAGAGUGCUUCCAUGCACACUGUUUUAUUCCAUUUUUACAACUGCCUUAUGAGCUGAGUAUAAUUAUCUCCAUUUUAUGGCUGAGGAGCCUGAGGCUCAAAAGGAAUAAGUGACUUGCCCAAGAUCAUAGCAUAACUGGCAGGUGACAGAAUCAGGACUCCAAACCAGAUGUUGUUGCGCCUGAGGUCAUAACUCCUGAAAAACAUAGUAGCUUUAAAAUUUUGGAAGGCAUUGCUGCCAUCUUUAGGAUAAUGACUUAGAGAUUUUUUUCCUCCAUGAUUAUUAUUUAAAAUAUUUUAAAGAAAUAAAAAGAAAUAACUGCAAAUUCUGUUCUAUACUAACCCUAAUAAUGUAUUCUUCUUUUUUUUUUAGGGCGCCCAUAUAUCAUAUGGAAGUUCCCAGGCUAGGGGUCAAAUCAGAACUCUAGCUGCCGGCCUACCCCACAGCCACAGCAAUGCCAGAUUUGAGCCCAGUCUGCGACCUACACCAAAGCUCACGGAAAUGCUGGAUCUUUAACCCACUGAGUGAGGACAGGGACCAAACUGGCAUCCUAACGGAUACAGGUUGGGUUUGUCACUGCUGAGCCACAGCGGGAACUCCCCAAGCUUCAGUCUUUAAUGUCACCUUGUGUUUGAUUUUAAUUGUGUUGAAGGCAAAGCACUGAGAAUCAUUUUUAAGGAUUUGUAGGUUGUUUAAAUGACCUUUUUUUUUUUUUAAAAUGGAAGCAUAAAUAAGAAUAUAAAUAAAUAAAACUAUUUUGCAAUUAACCCAUGCUUCAGCCAUGUUCAUAUCUGAUUCAGUCAAUAUAAGAAAGUCUUCUGAAGAUAUAUUUUGAAUCUCUUAGGCUAGGUAAUGGAGACAAAGGUGGCAAUUUUGUUGUGAAUUUAACUUCCCUGCUUUGGGAGGGAGCAAUAACAAAACUGUAGCAAAAGAAAAAGAGGACUCCCAGAUGAGAUUAUGCCUGCAAAAUUUUCUAGGCUGACAUGAAACCUGCAAGUAUAAGAUGUAAUCAUUUUUGACACAAGAACUAGGAGAACAUAGACUACAAAAUCCUUAAGCCUGGCAGCCUCUGGCAAGGUGAUAAAUAAUGUGAGGUCUUUUAGAAUAGCUUUUUUGGAGAUGGAACACAAAAUGUAAUACAUACAACACAUGCAGAAUUGUUGCUGGAGCGAAGACAGCAAAAAUACUUGUGAGACAGAAAAGGAUACCUAGGAAAGCACGUGCAAAGUUCCAGAAAGUGAGAGCAUGGGCUGUUGGGAGAACUGCAGGUGGUUCCCUGGGACUGGAACAAGAAGCCAGAGGAUCCGGAAAGAAUGCAGGAGGUGAGACUGCAGGAAGGUGAGACGUGGGAAGCAGGCAGCUCCCAUGUCCGUCAUUCGGGCUGGUCAACCCUGUUAUCCCCCAGCACCUGAGUUUCUUAGGAGAGGAGUGAUGAGAUCACAUUUGCAUUUUAACAGCAUCCCUCUGAAAGAAUGGAAGGGUCCAAGGCAGGUGGUAGGAACAUGGGUUAGCAGGAUAAUCAGGAGACUAGAGGUGAAAGUGUCCUGUACUAAGGUGCUGGUAGUGGGUGCCUAGAAAGGAGGGAUAGACCUGGGCUUCUCUGUGAAACCCAGCAGAGGAGGAGACAAAGCGACUCAUAUUUCUUUGUAUCCACCCAUUCUUACCCCAUAACCUCCUGUGCCAUAAAAUCAUUGUGGGCACUAAAGUUUUUGCGGCCAAUCAACAAGAGAGAUUUGUUGGGUUUUGAAUAGCUUUCUUCCUAAUAACUUCUCUCACCCCAAGUUGCUAACAUCCUUGGGGCUUUUUUAUUAGAAGGAUCUUGUGGGCAAAUGAUUGCCCAUCUCUCUAUUCAGGGACAUUUUAUUCUCAUCCAGGAGGAAACAACUGUUUUAAGUGGCAAGCUAGAAGUGAUUCAGCUUCUUCAAAUAGAAGGUGAUAACCCUUGUAAUGCAUAUACCACAUAAACACCAAAAACACACGUGUUUCCUUUAGUAUAAUACUGAUGGUGCUAAGAAUUCUGUAACUAAAAUUUGCAGGCCUGUUGUGUACUGUUGUAUACACAAAUUCCCCAUCACCUGCAAGAUAGAAUGCAAUGUCUGAAAGGGGCACACAGCCCUCCACAAUGCAGUCCUACCUACUUUACCACCCUUGCUCAACACUCCCUCUGCAGAGUUGCUGACUAAUUUAUAGUUCAAAAGUUAAGGUCAAAAUCAACAAUAUGGGAAAUAGCAGUGCUCAAAUUAAACUACAGGUAUUCUUAUAGAGCUCCUUUUCUAGAAGACGGAUACAAAAAAAAAUCAGGAUUAAAAAGUACCAUGAAGAGGAGUUCCCUGGUGGCUCAGGGGGUUCAGGAUCUGGUAUUGUCACUGCUAUGGCUUGGGUCACUGCUGUGGUGUGGGUUUGAACCCUGGCCUGGGAACUGCAGCAUGCCGUGGGUACAG